GUUUUACUGUCUUGGUAAUUGUCGGAAGCAGCCAGAAUCAAUUCGUACUACGUUACACACAUGCAAAACAUACACUGGGGUGUCAUUAAGAUUAAUUAUUCGUUAUAUAGGAUGACUAAAAAAAUCGUGCUAUAUAUUAAUGGAUGUCGAACAUGCCAGUGGUAUGGAAAAACAUGCUACAUGCAACGAUCAUGAUGGGACAGGGGAUAUUAUCGAACAGCGGACCUGUAAUACGCGUUUAGGUAAAUUGCGGUCGUCUUCUUCCGUGAUCUGUGUCCUGUAAGUUGGCCGUUCGAACACCG